rnacentral:misc_RNA from 1 species
GAUGAAGAACGUAGCGAAAUGCGAUACUUGGUGUGAAUUGCAGAAUCCCGUGAACCAUCGAGUCUUUGAACGCAAGUUGCGCCCGAAGCCAUUAGGCCGAGGGCACGCCUGCCUGGGCGUCACACGUCGUUGCCCCCCCCAUCUACUCCUUCGGGAUUGCGGGGGGCGGAUGAUGGCCUCCCGUGCGCCUCGCCGCGCGGUUGGCAUAAAUGCCAAGUCCUCGGCGACGCACGCCACGACAAUCGGUGGUUGUGAAACCUCGGUUGCCCGUCGUGUGCGGUCGUCGCGCAUCGAGGGCUCGAAAAAAUUGCCGAGUUCCGGCUCGGCUUUCAACGCGACCCCAGGUCAGGCGGGGUUACCCGCUGAAUUUAAGCAUAUCAAUAAGCGGAGGA